AACGAACGCUGGCGGCAGGCUUAACACAUGCAAGUCGAACGCCCCGCAAGGGGGGUGGCAGACGGGUGAGUAACGCGUGGGAACAUACCCUUUCCUGCGGAAUAGCUCUGGGAGACUGGAAUUAAUACCGCAUACGCCCUACGGGGGAAAGAUUUAUCGGGGAAGGAUUGGCCCGCGUUGGAUUAGCUAGUUGGUGGGGUAAAGGCCUACCAAGGCGACGAUCCAUAGCUGGUCUGAGAGGAUGAUCAGCCACAUUGGGACUGAGACACGGCCCAAACUCCUACGGGAGGCAGCAGUGGGGAAUAUUGGACAAUGGGCGCAAGCCUGAUCCAGCCAUGCCGCGUGAGUGAUGAAGGCCUUAGGGUUGUAAAGCUCUUUCACCGAUGAAGAUAAUGACGGUAGUCGGAGAAGAAGCCCCGGCUAACUUCGUGCCAGCAGCCGCUGUAAAAC
rnacentral:rRNA from 1 species